rnacentral:rRNA from 1 species
UACGGAGGGUGCAAACGUUGCUCGGAAUCAUUGGGCGUAAAGCGCGCGCAGGCGGCUUGAUCAGUCUGGGGUGAAAUCUCCCGGCUCAACUGGGAGCGGUCCCUGGAUACUGUCAGUCUUGAGAGACCUAGAGGAGAGCGGAAUUCCUGGUGUAGCGGUGGAAUGUGUAGAUAUCAGGAAGAACAUCGGUGGCGAAGGCGGCUUGCUGGGCCCUUACUGACGCUGAGACUCGAAAGCGUGGGGAGCAAACGGG